GGGACCUCCAACAUAUGCCUCCCUAACUGAGGACCCCCUAACAGAGCAGGUUUUCCCAUUGAUGUGUUCCAGACAGGUCUCAAGGAGAAGCAUAUCUUGUUUACUGGUUUGAUUUAGUGGUCUACAAAGCCUCCUGCCACUGCCACCUCCUGAGCUCUCUGAGUCAGCUCAGUGAUCGAAGAGGCACUCAAAGUCCUGGGGCUCACUCUAAGCCCUCAGUAACUAGAAAACUAGAUAAUAACAUUUUUAAUGUUUAGUGCCAUAUCUCACCUCUUUUACACUAUCUGCUGUUCCUGAACAGGAUGAGAUGGCUCCAGGAAACAACACCACAAAGUUAUCAGCGUGAAGUGGAUGAUGAUGUGGUGUCAUUCCCAGAAAGUCUUCUGCUGUUGCUAUCUCGUGAUGCAUCUUGACAGUGUGAUGGCAUCCCGCAGCUCUCUGUGCAUCUUCAGAUCUGGACAGGCCUUGACAAGUCUGAUCCUUGGAAUGGAUUCACUACAGAUGCCUGGGAGAUGAGAGAAGUGCUAACUGGCAUGAGCCUGGCAAGACAUUCCUAUACAGAGCGUUGGACAGGCCAUCCUCUUCUGUGAAUGCAGAUCCUGAAAGAUGGUGUGUCCUUGCAGUCAGUCACAGAGUAGAGAUGCUCUGUAAGCCUGUGCUCUGUGAAUUCACUGGCGUCAUUUGGACUACGUUGAUGUGCACCAGUGGAGGACCUGACUCACCCUCUGGUGGCUGCUGUGUGAGCGAUCCGACAACCCUUCCUCUCUGUGCCCCAGGAGGGAGUUUUGCAGCAGAUGUGGGGGACGUCGCGUUGGCGUUGGCACUGAGGUCAUUCUGCAUGCUCGAUGUACUCCCAUUGCAAAAGGUACCAAGACAUAUUCAAAAUCAGUUUCUUGUUGAAAGAUGGAAGUAGAGGACAAAGCAGGAACAAAAACCUUCAUGGAGUGUAUCUUUUCUGGAUUCGUAUGGAAAUGUGGCUUUGACCACUGCUUGCAUCAGGGUCAGGUUUUCAUUUCAGUACUGCAGAAGAUGACACUCGUGGAUGGCUUUUUGCAACUGUUUUUUUAAUGUGAAUAUAGGAUUAACACAGGAUGUUUUCUUUAAGUUAUGUGGUCUAAUCAAAAUACUGUUAAAAGUAAAAACUGAAGCUGAGUGUGAGGAAAACUGUAUGAAAUGAAAUUCAUGAAGAGAAUAUUCUUUUUCAUUUUUAAUUGAAGUCAUAUAAAAGUUUUUUCCCUUUUUUGCACCUGUGAAUCUACAUUGAUUUUAGAUAGCUUCUGAGAAACAACUUUCCCAAGAGUGUAAUGAUCUUCUGAUUGUUGCAUAUGGCACUAGGACCUUAAUAAAGGUUCUGAAGUCUAUGAGACUCCA
rnacentral:lncRNA from 1 species